CCGUGCAUGCGCAACAGCCUCCACCCUGCUUUACGGGCUCAGAUCACGCGCUGGAGGGCGGUAGGACACUUCAGAUGCAGGAUGAGAGAAGUGAUGGAUAAAGAGAAGAUACGAGAGGUCAGAAGCCUGGAGGUUCUGAUAAGGAAAAACUGCUGCUGUGGAGUCAACUCUGGCUCAUGGUGACCUUAUGGGACAACAGAAAAGGACAUUGCCCAGUCCUGUAUCAUCCUCACAAUCUCCAGCAGGAUCGAGUUCAUUGUUGCGUCCCUUAUGCCAAUCCAUCUCACUGAGGGAGACUGUCGUUGGCCCUCUACUUCACCAAACGUGAUGUCCUCUAGCAAUUGAUCCCUCCUGAUGGGUCCAAAGCAAAUGAAGUUGAUUUGAUUCCUGUGUAUUCCAUCUGGCAAGGUCUACAUAUAUAGUCUCCAUUCAUGUUGUUGAAAAAAGGUAUUUCCAUGAAUAAAUUAUUGGUCUUGCAAAAUUCUACCAUGUGAUCUCCACUUUCGUUUUUUUCACCAAGGCCAUAUUUCCAACUGCCAUUCCUUCUUCGUUUCCAACUUUCACAUGCAAAUCACCAGUGAAUCAGUGCAUCUUGAUUGCACAUUUGAUCAAUUUCAGACUGCAGAAGUUGGUAAAAAUCUAUUUCUUAAUCUUUAGCCUUAGUGGUUGGUACACAAGUUUGAACAAUAGUUGUAUUAACUGGUCUUCCUUAUAGGCAUAUAGAUAUUAUCCUAUCACUGACAGCGUUGUGCUUCAGGAUAGAUUUUAAAAUACUCUUUGUGACGAUGAAUGCGACACCAUUCCUCUUCAAUUUGUCAUUCCUGACAUAGACCAUAUGAUUGUCUGAAUGGCCAAUACCAGUCCAUUUCAGCUCUCUGAUGCUUAGGAUAUCCAUCUUUAUGAGUUCCAUUUCAUUUUUGAUGGCUUCCAACUUUCUUAGAUUCAUACUUCAUACAUUCCACAUUCUGAUUAUUAAUGAAUGUUUGCAGCUGUUUCUUCUCAUUUUAAAUAGUGUCACAUUGGCAAAUGAAGGUCCAGAUCUUCACUCCAUCCAUGUCAUUAAGAUCAACUCUACUUUGAGGAGGCAGCACUUCCCCAGUCAUCUUUUGAGUCCCUUUCAACCUGAGGGGUUCAUAUUCUGGCCCUGUAUCAACAUUCCACUGCUACUCAUAAGGUUUUCAGUGGCCAAUUUUUUCAGAAAUAGACCACCAGGUCCCUCUUCCUAGUCUGUCUAAGCCUGAAACCUGUCCACUAUGGGUGACCCUGCUGGUAUGUGCAAUACCAUUGGCAUUGCUUCCAGCUUCACAGCAGCAAGCAAGCCACUACAGUAUGACAAACUGACAGAUGAGUAGUGCCUAUGAAUUAGCUUUGCCAAAUAAAAAAAAUUGAACCUCAAUCUGAUCAAGUUUCUAAAUCUACUAAUUUAAAGGAAGUAUGAGGAACAGAGAAACUCCUUAUACAACACCAAAAAGACAUGUUUAGCAAAAUCCAGACUGUAGAAACUGCAGACAAGUAAUUCACUUCAUGCAACAAAAAUAUUGACAGGAAAAAAAGAAGGGAGAACUUAUCGAGUAAAAGAGACAAUCUGAAAUUUGAGCACUGUCUAGGUAUUUAUGAUGUUAAGGAAUUAUUGUUCAUUUUUUGUGAUGUUUUUGUGGUUAUAUUUUUAAAGGGAAGUUCUUAUCUUUUAGAAGUACAUCCUGAAAUAUUUAUAGAUGAAAGGAUAUGAUGCCUGGAAUUUACAUAUAAAUAAUGGCAGGGGGGUAGGUCAAGCAGGGGAUCAAAAAAAAAAAAGUAAGAUUAGUAAGGAAUUGGUAGUUAUUGAAGUUGGCUAAUAGGUAUAUGGGGGUCUGUCAUACUCUUCUCCCAUAUAUUAUUUUGUAUAUGUCUGAAAUUCUUCAAAAUUAAAAAUUAAAAAAAAAAUUCCUUGAAGGAGUAAGUGAACUGCAUUUAAGCUAUUAUUAAUCCUUUUUCUGCCUUAUAACAGCUACAUUUUGUUCUAAAGUUCUGUAGCUUACCCAAGCUAGGGCCCUAAACUGUUACGGUGAGAUCUAGCACUUGAUACUCACGUGUGUAUAAGUCCCUGAGUGCUUAAUUACUCCAGAUAGGAUUGUAUUUCAGUCCCUCAAGAGGCAUUUGAUAACCCAAAUAAAUGUUUCCUUUGUGGGUGGAGUUAAAGAUAGUAAAUUUUUAACUUGGGGCCAUCAUCCUGGCUUAUUCUGGGAUAUUGCUACCAUUUCCCCUUUACCCCUAUUUAAAAAGAAACACACAGAGAGAAAUGAAAUAAAUGUUGUUUAGAAAAGUAUAUUCUUGUACCACGGGCUGCUACCUAUUAAU